GACGAACGCUGGCGGCGUGCCUAAUACAUGCAAGUCGUGCGGACCUUGUUGAAAGCUUGCUUUUAAGAGGUUAGCGGCGGACGGGUGAGUAACACGUGGGCAACCUGCCUGUAAGACUGGGAUAACGCCGGGAAACCGGGGCUAAUACCAGAUCGUUUUUUCCUCCGCAUGGAGGAAAAAGGAAAGGCGGCUUCGGCUGCCACUUACAGAUGGGCCCGCGGCGCAUUAGCUAGUUGGCGGGGUAAUGGCCCACCAAGGCAACGAUGCGUAGCCGACCUGAGAGGGUGAUCGGCCACAUUGGGACUGAGACACGGCCCAAACUCCUACGGGAGGCAGCAGUAGGGAAUCUUCCGCAAUGGACGAAAGUCUGACGGAGCAACGCCGCGGGAGUGAAGAAGGCCUUCGGGUCGUAAAACUCUGUUGCCGGGGAAGAACAAGUGCCGUUCGAACAGGGCGGCGCCUUGACGGUACCCGGCCAGAAAGCCACGGCUAACUACGUG
rnacentral:rRNA from 1 species